rnacentral:rRNA from 1 species
CGCCUCUUGCAAAAUUGAUAAAUAAGAGGUCCCGCCUGCCCUGUGACCAGAGUGUUUAACGGCCGCGGUAUCCUAACCGUGCGAAGGUAGCGCAAUCACUUGCUCUUUAAAUGGGGGCCCGUAUGAAUGGCGUAACGAGGGCUUAACUGUCUCCUUUUUCAGGUCAAUGAAUUUGAUCUCCCCGUGCAGAAGCGGGGAUGAUAACAUAAGACGAGAAGACCCUAUGGAGCUUUAGACACCAAGGCAGACCACGUUAAUCACCCCUGUUAAAGGCUUAAACUGUCUGGCUGCUGCCCUAAUGUCUUCGGUUGGGGUGACCAUGAGGGAAAACAAAGCCCCCGUGCGGAACGAGAAUACUAUUUCUCCUAACCAAGAGUUUCAACUCUAAUAAUCAGAACCUCUGACUUAAGUGAUCCGGCAGUGCCGAUCAACGGACCAAGUUACCCUAGGGAUAACAGCGCAAUCCUCUUUUAGAGCCCAUAUCGACAAGGGGGUUUACGACCUCGAUGUUGGAUCGGGACAUCCUAAUGGUGCAGCCGCUAUUAAGGGUUCGUUUGUUCAACGAUUAACAGUCCUA